rnacentral:rRNA from 1 species
AUAAGAUGAGAGUUUGAUCCUGGCUCAGGACGAACGCUGGCGGCAUGCCUAAUACAUGCAAGUCGAACGAGCUUCCGUUGAAUGACGUGCUUGCACUGAUUUUAACAAUGAAGCGAGUGGCGAACUGGUGAGUAACACGUGGGAAAUCUGCCCAGAAGCAGGGGAUAACACUUGGAAACAGGUGCUAAUACCGUAUAACAACAAAAUCCGCAUGGAUUUUGUUUGAAAGGUGGCUUCGGCUAUCACUUCUGGAUGAUCCCGCGGCGUAUUAGUUAGUUGGUGAGGUAGAGGCCCACCAAGACG